rnacentral:rRNA from 1 species
UGGGGAUACGUACCCGAAAGGGACGCUAAUACCGCAUAACAUCCUGCUUUUUAAGAGGUGGAGAUCAAAGCCGGGGAUCGCAAGACCUGGCGCUUGAAGAGGGGCCCGCGUCCGAUUAGCUAGUUGGUGGGGUAAUGGCUCACCAAGGCUUCGAUCGGUAUCCGGCCUGAGAGGGCGAACGGACACAUGGGACUGAGACACGGCCCAG